CUAAUUUACUUCUCUCUCUCGAAACCUCUUUGAAUCGAUCAAGGCCAUUGUAUCGCGACGUAUGCUCUUUUUUAAUUACGAUUAGCUAGGACACACGCCGCCGGCCUGCGUAGCGCUUCGUUGGUUCUUUUAGGGGUGGGCACACUGAAAGAGAAGGAGGUGCGGACCCGGAGUAGGAAGAGGGAGGGACGGCGGAACCUCGAGGCCGCGGGGCGUGAGGCAGAACGGCCGGCCGCCGCCGAGACCGUCCGCCGCGUUUCGGUGGUCUAAGUACCGGUUCAGGCCACGGGCAUUCCUGCGGCGCGUUCAGGCCGGUAGCCGGUGGAGCGGCGGCGGCGUCGUGAGGGGGCCGCGGUGUCGUUCGAGCAAGCGGUCGGCGAGAGGUGUCGAAGAGAAGAUGGGGCCGCGGGGCUGUUCUAGGAGCCGGUCGGGGAGCUGUGGCGGUGUGGACAUGGGCGGAGAGUACCUUAGGAGGAGUCGGUUGGGAUGUACCUCCGGCUACAUAUGGAGACGUGGACUUCCGGACGAUUCAAAACCUGUUAAUGGCGGGUACUUAGGAAUGUUAAAAGUUGGAGUCGGUUACGUGGUAGUACUUGUUCCUAUGGUUUUAUACCUCUUAAACGUGAAACAACCACGAAGGGGUGUACUAGGGAAAAGUUGUGGUGGCGGUGGUGGCGUGAGAUUACAAAGUAGAGUCAGACGAGGGUGGUUUCAACUAAGUUUCUUUUUCUUUUCCUUCCAGUUCUCACAUCUACGGCUGCUUAGCCCUCGUUCCUGGCGUAUAGCAGACGGGAUAUGUGGGCUCCUUGUACUCUCUGACCGUCCACGAACCGACCUCACAAGUGAGUUAGGGUAACUACCCUUGCCUUUCUUCAGACUCGUCAAAACCCUACUGUAACGACGAGAUAUGUUAUGACGGUGUGGUUCAUUGGCGUUUUCUCUAGCCUUAGUCGAGUUCUGCCUUACCGUUUCCUGGUUCUUUUCCGAGCGGCGAAAGGUGCCACUCACCUAACGGCAAUACCCUCACAUAGUAUCACCAGUGUUAUCAGUACUGGACGUUUUUUACCGCAACCUCUUCAUACUUGCCUUGAUAGUGGUCGGAAAGGUUGUAAAUUGAUACACCCUUUUUUAGUUCCUACUAAGUUUUACCGAUCGGAGAAUAUUUUUGUACUACCGUUUUUUUCCUUUGUACUGUCUCUGGCUAGAGGGUAGUUUAUACUAGUUGAACCUCCGGCUUCUCGCGGGUUUUCGACCAGCACUAUUCCGAUUCCGACUUGCACGACCAUUUCCUUUCAGCCCUCCCUAGAGCGUUCUCGAACCUCUUUCCGAUCUGUUCAAGUAGCUCCAAUUGUUAGUUAGCUUCCUCCUCGCGGUUUUCCACUAUCUGUCGGUCCAAGAAAAUAGUUUAGUUGUCGAACUUUGGCGUUUCUAGUUGUCGAACUUCGUAUAAUCUUUAACCGAGCCAGUCAAACAACACAUUUGGACUACCUAGCAAAUAGUGAAAACAACAGGCCAGUCAAAUAACACACGUGGCUAGUCGAUGAGAUUUUAACUACACUUGCACUACCAAACGACAAUCGAAAACCUGACUAGUCGAUGAUGAUAACAGUCAAUGGAAAAUACUUAGUAGCCACUUCGAUGAGAUUAACUACCUGGCUAGUCGAUGAUAAUACGGGCAAUGGAAAAAAUUAGUAACGACUUCGAGUUAGCAAACUCAAAAGUAAAUGUGUACUUAGCAAAGUGUUGUCACACGAUAUAUAUGUUCGCAUACGGAAGAGAAAAGGAGUGAGGACGUGUGACGUGGUGAAGAAAGGGACAAGUUCUACCGGUCAUCACUUGGUCUGACAAUAAUCGCCCAUAUUUCCUCGGGGAUGACAACAAGUUCUACCCUCUUUACAGGUAAUCUCACCUCCCCCGUUAAGUGAUCGCCCAUAUUUCCUCGGGGAUGACAAUAAGAUCUCCGCCAACGUAGAGUUCUAGAAACCUAUACCGUACGGAAAAAACCACAACGGCCUAGGUUGUUACUGUAGUUGCACGAAUUGGUUAGUUGCGACAAGUGACUCGUUGACUUUCCCGUUCGAGGAGCUCACUUGAUAUGACAGUUGUUCUUCCUUAUAGUUGAACCAAUAAUGGAACAUCUACCUUAUAUGGGGCUCCCCCGUCGUAAGUACUUCAGUUAUGGCUACCGAAAUUGUCUUUUCGUGUCCAACAAACACUUUGUAGUUCUCCCUCGUUCUUUCCUGCACCUUGCACGUAAACCACACAACGUCCGUGCUACCAGAUAAAAUGCCGAAGGCCGUGCAAAUAUACUUGCCCCACUAGAGUUAUUAUAAUACAACCGUACGUAGUAAGAUGUGUAGUACUAUCAGCUACUACUUGUUCUUCUCCGCCCUUUAUAAGAACUAAACUUAAUACUUCGUCCGAGCAGCUAACGGGAAGGAAGCCAAAAAUGAGUACCACUGUACGGUCUUAAACGGCUCCAUGAACUUUCUCUACGAUCUCAAGCACUAGCAGGUUGCGUAUUCCGAGAAUUUUUACUAAACUAACUCGUAUAUACCUCUUUCAAACCCGCGCUUAUCUAAUAUAGGUUCAGAACUAGCUACAUAACG
rnacentral:rRNA from 1 species